AUGGAGGAAUCUGUAAACCAAAUGCAACCACUAAAUGAGAAGCAGAUAGCCAGUUCUGAAGAUGGAUAUGUAUGGCAAGUCACUGACAUGAAUCAGCUACACUGGUUCUUGUGUUUUGGUUCUGAAGGACUUGCAAUUGUUACCAAAUAUAUUACAAAGGGCUGGAAAGAAGUUCAUGAAUUGUAUAAAGAAAAAGCACUUUCGGUGGAGACUGAAAAAUUAUUAAAGUAUCUGGAGGCUGUAGAGAAAGUGAAGCGCACAAAAGAUGAACUGGAAGUAAUUCCUCUAAUAGAAGAACAUAGGUAAGUUAGAGAACAUCUUCUGACAAAUCACUUAAAGUAUAAAGAGGUAUGGAAGGCUUUGUUACAAGAAAUGCCUCUUACUGCAUUACUAAGGAAUCUAGGAAAGAUGACUGCAAAUUCAGUGCUUGAACCAGGAAAUUCGGAAGUAUCAUUAGUUUGUGAAAAACUAUGUAAUGAAAAAUUGUUUAAAAAGGCUCGUAUACAUCCAUUUCAUGUUUUAAUUGCAUUAGAAAUGUACAAGAAAGGUUAUGGGCUCAGAGGAAAACUGAAGUGGUGCCCUGAUGAAGAAAUUUUGAAAGAUUUGCAUGCUGCUUUUUAUAAAACAUUUAAGACAGUUGAGCCAACUAGAAAGCGUUUCUUACUAGCUGUUGAUGUCAGCGCUUCCAUGAACCAGAGUUUUAGGCAGCAUCCUCAAUGCUAGUACAGUUGCUGCAGCCAUGUGCAUGGUUGUCACACAAACAGAAAAAGAUUCUUAUAUAGUUGCUUUUUCAGAUGAAAUGGUACCAUGUCCACUGACUACAGAUAUGACCUUACAACAGGUUUCAAUGGCUAUGAGUCAGAUCCCAGCAGGUGGGACUGAUUGCUCUCUUCCAAUGAUCUGGGCUCAGAAGACAAACACAGCUGCAGAUGUCUUCAUUGUAUUCACUGAUAAUGAGACCUUUGCUGGAAGUGUCCAUCCUGCUAUUGCUCUGAGGGAAUAUCGAAAGAAAAUGGAUAUUCCAGCAAAAUUGAUUGUUUGUGGAAUGACAUCAAAUGGUUUUACCAUUGCAGAUCCAGAUGAUAGAGGCAUGUUGGAUAUGUGUGGCUUUGAUACUGGAGCUUCGGAUGUAAUUCAGAAUUUCGCAUUAGAUGUGAUUUAACCAUAAGCACCAGCAUGAUCUUAGAGGUCCAUUGCCAUUAGUGAUCUCACUAAAAAUAUGCAGCUACUUCCCAGCUAAUCUCAAUCUAAAGAU